CCAGCCACACUGGGACUGAGAACUACCCAGACUCCUACGGGAGGCUGCAGUCGAGAAUUUUGGGCAAUGGGCGAAAGCCUGACCCAGCAAUGCCGCGUGCGGGAUGAAGGUCUUCGGAUUGUAAACCGCUGUCGAGGGGGACGAAAUUUGACGGUACCCCUAGAGGAAGCCACGGCUAACUACGUGCCAGCAGCCGCGGUAAUACGUAGGUGGCGAGCGUUGUUCGGAUUUAUUGGGCGUAAAGGGUCCGCAGGGGGUUGAUUAAGUCUGACGUGAAAUCCCUGAGCUUAACUCAGGAACUGCGUUGGAGACUGGUUGACUAGAGUGUUGGAGAGGUGAUUGGGAUUCCAGGUGUAGCGGUGGAAUGCGUAGAUAUCUGGAAGAACAUCGAAAGCGAAGGCAGAUCACUGGACAAUGACUGACCCUCAGGGACGAAAGCAUGGGGAGCAAACAGGAUUAGAUACCCUGGUAGUCCAUGCCCUAAACGUUGUCAACUUGAUGUGAGCGGAAUUACUCCCGUUCGUGUCGAAGCUAACGCGAUAAGUUGACCGCCUGGGAACUACGGCCGCAAGGCUAAAACUCAAAGGAGUUGACGGGGGCCCGCACAAGCGGUGGAGCAUGUGGCUUAAUUCGAGGCAACGCGAAGAACCUUACCUAGAUUUGACAUAUACCGGACCGGUGUAGAAAUACACUUUCCCGCAAGGGUCGGUAUACAGGUGCUGCAUGGCUGUCGUCAGCUCGUGCCGUGAGGUGUUCGGUUAAGUCCGGCAACGAGCGCAACCCGUGUCAUUAGUUACCAUCAGGCAAUGCUGGGGACUCUAAUGAGGCUGCCUGUGUUAAGCAGGAGGAAGGCGCGGAUGACGUCAAGUCCGUAUGGCCUUUAUAUUUAGGGCUGCACACGUGCUACAAUGGCUGGUACAGAGGGAAGCAAGAUCGCGAGAUGGAGCUGAUCCGUAAAGCCAGCCUUAGUUCAGGUUGCAGUCUGCAACUCGACUGCAUGAUGCCGGAAUCGCUAGUAAAGGCGUAUCAGCUACGACGCCUUGAAUACGUUCCCGGGCCUUGUACACACCGCCCGUCACAUCAUGGGAGCUGAUUGCACCCGAAGUCGCUGACUCGACCUGCAAAGGGGAGAGGCGCCUAAGGUGCGGUUAGUGACUGGGAUGAAGUCGUAACAAGGUAGCCGUUGGGGAACCAGCGGCUG
rnacentral:rRNA from 1 species